rnacentral:rRNA from 1 species
CUAGCUUUGCUCGGAAUUACUGGGCGUAAAGCGCACGUAGGCGGCUUUCUACGUCGCGUGUGAAAGCCCCCGGCUCAACUGGGGAGGGUCACGCGAUACUGAUCGACUCGAAGGCAGGAGAGGGAAGUGGAAUUCCCGGUGUAGUGGUGAAAUGCGUAGAUAUCGGGAGGAACACCAGUGGCGAAGGCGACUUCCUGGCCUGUUCUUGACGCUGAGGCGCGAAAGCUAGGGGAGCAAACGGG